UUGUAAAUGAGUUCCAAUAGUUCAUGGAUUAGGGACCCAAUCUUAUGGGGUUCCAAGGGCUUCUCUAUAGAAAGAUUAACCUAAAUAAUCUACCCACCCAACGGGACUCAAUACUCAGUCUAGAAGAUAACAUCAGAGAUGCUUAGUUUUGCAGUUCUCAAACUGUGGAUUUGUGUCUCCAGAGAUAACAUGCUUGUUAACAGCAAAAAAUGAUUUUAAGUAAAUGCAUAUUGUAUAAAAGU